rnacentral:lncRNA from 1 species
GGGAUUUGGUACAAAGAAACUAUUUUUUACGUAAACGUCACUGCUCAUAACUUGUAUGUCCAUUUGUCUAUUCAUCCGAUUAAUCAACAGAUAGAAAUUUAUUGAGCCGUUUCCUCAAUGCCUGGAAUGGGGCUGAAGGUGAGGAAUGGGGUAAAUGAUAGUGAUGAAUACGACCAGUCCUGGCAGUGCUUCUCAGACUUUUCCAUGAACCACUCUGAUGGUUAAGGACACUGAAGGAGAAUGGGAGGGCCACAAGGUUUUCCAUCAACAGAAAUGGCUGCUGAUUGAAGCUUUCUGCCCAGCACUGGAGAGAGACCCAUUCUCCAAAGCAGGUGUUUUCAGAUCAAGAUGGUUGUUGGAUGACACAGUGGGGAAUACACUUAGUAAAGCCACGUCAUAAAUUGGGCUGGUGUCAGCUUCCUGAUUUAGUGCUUUGCUCUAUUUGGUCAUGAAUUAUAUAUUCUUUUCCAGAUUGAUCAUUUCUCCUGCCGAUAAAGGGACAGUAUUCUACCCAGUGGGUUUGGCCCCUGACCUAAGAAAUAUAUGGAUGCAUCAAAAUUCCCUGAGCUGACAACUUGGAUGAACUCUGGAGGCUGUAAAUCUGCAAAGGCAGAGAGGGGCCAGGCAGGCCUGUGCGAGAGGGCUCUCCCCUCAUUUAGUGUGCAUCAACCACCAUGAUGGCCGAGCAAUUCCUUGUCUGCUUUUUACCCAACAUAAUUUGCAAAUUGAUUGUUCUUCCUUGGAAGUCUUUCUUAAUUAAAUAGUAACUGCAGUUACUACCCUCAGACAAAGGGGACAUGUUAGUGUCCUGGCAGAGCACAGCCUUAGCUCAGUGAAUUUACGUUUGCUGAAGUGCCCAUCAUGGACUCAUGUGCAGAACUCUACUGCAUGGCUCCUUCUAGAGGAAUGAGACUGCACUCCUUGCCCACAAAGAGCCAGAAUAAGGUGAGUUAAUAACAGUGCUUUAUAACAAAUUAUGUAUAGAAGCCUUUGCUUUUCAAUGUACUUAUUUCAAAUAUCACCCUAUUCCAUUGUCAUGCUAUGUAUGGCAAACAACUGUAGUCUCUAUUUGUCAGAUAGGGGAACUGAGGGAAAGAGAAUUUAGGGGUUUGCCCAAGCUCAUAUAGAAAAGUGAGAAACAGGCCCAUGAUACAGGUGCCCUGCCUCCUUGGCUGGUCCCCAUGUUGAGUUAGGCCCAAAUGUAUUCAUUCAACAACAUUUUUAAAGUGCCAUCUAUGAUUGGGCCCUGUGGAGGUGGGCAGAAUAGCCAUGAGUGAACAGGUGUCUUUGAUGGACAUCAGCCUUCCAACCAGGCCAGUGGUUCUGAAUCCUUGAAAGGUGUCAGAACCAUCUGGGAAGCUCAUUAAAAAGCACAGUUAGCUAGGACACAGCCUGGGGCUUUAAUAAAUCUGGACCAUGCCCCA